UGAGGAACAUGACCUUCGGCGGGGGAGUAGCCGGACCCAACGGCCGGGUAAUACCGCGUACGACCACAUGCGGACAUCCCCGAGUGGUGAAAGCAGCAAUGCGCCGAUGGAGUGCCUCGCGGCCUAUCAGCUAGUUGGUGAGGUAACGGCUCACCAAGGCGACGACGGGUAGCUGGUCUGAGAGGAUGGCCAGCCACAUUGGGACUGAGACACGGCCCAGACCUNUACGGGAGG
rnacentral:rRNA from 1 species